rnacentral:rRNA from 1 species
UACGAAGGGGGCUAGCGUUGUUCGGAAUUACUGGGCGUAAAGCGCGCGUAGGCGGGUGAUUAAGUCAGGGGUGAAAUGCCGAGGCUCAACCUCGGAACUGCCUUUGAUACUGGUCGCCUGGAGUUCGGGAGAGGUAAGUGGAAUUCCGAGUGUAGAGGUGAAAUUCGUAGAUAUUCGGAGGAACACCAGAAGCGAAGGCGGCUUACUGGCCCGAUACUGACGCUGAGGCGCGAAAGCGUGGGGAGCAAACGGG